rnacentral:rRNA from 1 species
ACGAGAAUCUGCGGAAAGAGGAUUCGUCCAAUUGAAGCAGAGGACAGUGGCGGACGGGUGAGUAACGCGUGAGGAACCUGCCUUUCAGAGGGGGACAACAGUUGGAAACGACUGCUAAUACCGCAUGACAUAUAGAUGUCGCAUGGCAUUUAUAUCAAAGAUUUAUCGCUGAAAGAUGGCCUCGCGUCUGAUUAGCUAGUUGGUGAGGUAACGGCCCACCAAGGCGACGAUCAGUAGCCGGACUGAGAGGUCGAACGGCCACAUUGGGACUGAGAUACGGCCCAGACUCCUACGGGAGGCAGCAGUGGGGAAUAUUGGGCAAUGGGCGCAAGCCUGACCCAGCAACGCCGCGUGAAGGAAGAAGGCUUUCGGGUUGUAAACUUCUUUUGUCAGGGACGAGUAGAAGACGGUACCUGACGAAUAAGCCACGGCUAACUACGUGCCAGCAGCCGCGGUAAUACGUAGGUGGCAAGCGUUGUCCGGAUUUACUGGGUGUAAAGGGCGUGUAGCCGGGAGGGCAAGUCAGAUGUGAAAUCCACGGGCUCAACUCGUGAACUGCAUUUGAAACUACUCUUCUUGAGUAUCGGAGAGGCAAUCGGAAUUCCUAGUGUAGCGGUGAAAUGCGUAGAUAUUAG